AAGCCGCGGUAAUACGAAGGGUGCAAGCGUUACUCGGAAUUACUGGGCGUAAAGCGUGCGUAGGCGGUUUGUUAAGUCAGAUGUGAAAGCCCCGGGCUCAACCUGGGAAUGGCAUUUGAUACUGGCGAGCUAGAGUACGGUAGAGGGUGGUGGAAUUCCCGGUGUAGCGGUGAAAUGCGUAGAGAUCGGGAGGAACAUCUGUGGCGAAGGCGGCCACCUGGACCAGUACUGACGCUGAGGCACGAAAGCGUGGGGAGCAAACAGGAUUAGAUACCAUGGUAGUCCACGCCCUAAACGAUGCGAACUGGACGUUGGGCUCAAUUGAGAGUUCAGUGUCGAAGCUAACGCGUUAAGUUCGCCGCCUGGGGAGUACGGUCGCAAGACUGAAACUCAAAGGAAUUGACGG
rnacentral:rRNA from 1 species